GCAAGUCGAACGAGAAGCUCCAGCUUGCUGGGGUGGACAGUGGCGCACGGGUGAGUUACGCGUAGGCAACCUGCCCUUAGACAGGGAAUAACUACGGGAAACCGUAGCUAAUACCGCAUAAUAUCUUCGGAUCGCAUGACCUGAAGAUCAAAACUCCGGUGUCUAAGGAUGGGCCUGCGUUGGAUUAGGUAGUUGGUAAGGUAACGGCUUACCAAGCCUACGAUCCAUAGCUGGUCUGAGAGGAUGAUC
rnacentral:rRNA from 1 species